rnacentral:rRNA from 1 species
CCUACGGGAGGCAGCAGUGGGGAAUUUUGGACAAUGGGCGAAAGCCUGAUCCAGCAAUGCCGCGUGAGUGAAGAAGGCCUUCGGGUUGUAAAGCUCUUUUGUCAGGGAAGAAACGGUGAGAGCUAAUAUCUCUUGCUAAUGACGGUACCUGAAGAAUAAGCACCGGCUAACUACGUGCCAGCAGCCGCGGUAAUACGUAGGGUGCAAGCGUUAAUCGGAAUUACUGGGCGUAAAGCGUGCGCAGGCGGUUUUGUAAGUCUGAUGUGAAAUCCCCGGGCUCAACCUGGGAAUUGCAUUGGAGACUGCAAGGCUAGAAUCUGGCAGAGGGGGGUAGAAUUCCACGUGUAGCAGUGAAAUGCGUAGAUAUGUGGAGGAACACCGAUGGCGAAGGCAGCCCCCUGGGUCAAGAUUGACGCUCAUGCACGAAAGCGUGGGGAGCAAACAGGAUUAGAUACCCUGGUAGUCCACGCCCUAAACGAUGUCUACUAGUUGUCGGGUCUUAAUUGACUUGGUAACGCAGCUAACGCGUGAAGUAGACCGCCUGGGGAGUUACGGCGCAAGAUUAAAACCGNGAAAAGGAAUUGGACGGCGUGAGAGAGACGACGGACGACGACGAGGGAGGAGG